UCCGAGUUGACCCCGGCAGUCUCCUACGAGUCCCCGGCCGAACCGCUGGCAACAUAGGACAAGGGUUGCGCUCGUUGCGGGACUUAACCCAACACCUCACGGCACGAGCUGACGACAGCCAUGCACCACCUGUGCACAGGCCCCGAAGGGCUGCCGUAUCUCUACCCCGUUCCGCACAUGUCAAGGGUAGGUAAGGUUUUUCGCGUUGCAUCGAAUUAAUCCACAUAGUCCACCGCUUGUGCGGGUCCCCGUCAAUUCCUUUGAGUUUAAGCCUUGCGGCCGUACUCCCCAGGCGGUCAACUUCACGCGUUAGCUUCGUUACCAAGGAAUUACUUCCCCGACAACUAGUUGACAUCGUUUAGGGCGUGGACUAC
rnacentral:misc_RNA from 1 species